GAUGAACGCUGGCGGCGUGCUUAACACAUGCAAGUCGAACGGUGAAGGCGGAGCUUGCUCUGCUGGAUCAGUGGCGAACGGGUGAGUAACACGUGAGCAAUCUGCCCCUGACUCUGGGAUAAGCGCUGGGAACGGCGUCUAAUACUGGAUACGAGCUGCGAAGGCAUCUUCAGCAGCUGGAAAGAAUUUCGGUCAGGGAUGAGCUCGCGGCCUAUCAGCUUGUUGGUGAGGUAAUGGCUCACCAAGGCGUCGACGGGUAGCCGGCCUGAGAGGGUGACCGGCCACACUGGGACUGAGACACGGCCCAGACUCCUACGGGAGGCAGCAGUGGGGAAUAUUGCACAAUGGGCGAAAGCCUGAUGCAGCAACGCCGCGUGAGGGACGACGGCCCUCGGGUUGUAAACCUCUUUUAGCAGGGAAGAAGCGAAAGUGACGGUACCUGCAGAAAAAGCGCCGGCUAACUACGUG
rnacentral:rRNA from 1 species